rnacentral:rRNA from 1 species
AUUCGAUGCAACGCGAAGAACCUUACCAGGUCUUGACAUUGAUGGACAGAACCAGAGAUGGUUCCUCUUCUUCGGAAGCCAGAAAACAGGUGGUGCACGGUUGUCGUCAGCUCGUGUCGUGAGAUGUUGGGUUAAGUCCCGCAACGAGCGCAACCCCUAUCUUAUGUUGCCAGCACUUUGGGUGGGAACUCAUGAGAGACUGCCGCAGACAAUGCGGAGGAAGGCGGGGAUGACGUCAAAUCAUCAUGCCCCUUAUGACCUGGGCUACACACGUACUACAAUGGAACGGACAGAGAGCAGCGAACCCGCGAGGGCAAGCGAACCUCAAAAACCGUUUCCCAGUUCGGAUUGCAGGCUGCAACCCGCCUGCAUGAAGUCGGAAUCGCUAGUAAUCGCAGGUCAGCAUACUGCGGUGAAUACGUUCCCGGGCCUAGUACAC